rnacentral:rRNA from 1 species
GGUCCCAAGGGUAUGGCUGUUCGCCAUUUAAAGUGGUACGCGAGCUGGGUUUAGAACGUCGUGAGACAGUUCGGUCCCUAUCUGCCGUGGGCGUUGGAAGAUUGAAGGGGGCUGCUCCUAGUACGAGAGGACCGGAGUGGACGAACCUCUGGUGUUCGGGUUGUGUCGCCAGACGCAUUGCCCGGUAGCUAAGUUCGGAAUUGAUAAGCGCUGAAAGCAUCUAAGCGCGAAGCGAGCCCUGAGAUGAGUCUUCCCUGACAGUUUAACUGUCCUAAAGGGUUGUUCGAGACUAGAACGUUGAUAGGCAGGGUGUGUAAGCGUUGUGAGGCGUUGAGCUAACCUGUACUAAUUGCCCGUGAGGCUUAACCAU